GUUGUGCCCGAGUGGUUAAGGGGUUGGACUCGAAAUCCAAUGGGGUCACCCGCGCAGGUUCGAAUCCUGCUGACG
rnacentral:tRNA from 1 species